rnacentral:rRNA from 1 species
GGAAGAGCCAAGCGUUAUCCGGAAUUACGGGGUGUAAAGGGAGCGCAGACGGGAAGCCAAGGCAGCUGUGAAAACUAACGGCUCAACCGUGGAGACUGCAGUUGAAACUGGCAUUCUUGAGUGAAGCAGAGGCGGGAGGAAUUCGCCGAGU